AACUGAUGCUCAAAGAGGUUGAGUUUGCCACAGAUCACGUGGUACAGGACAGGUAUGGGCAAUUUUUUUCUGUUAAAGGCCAGAUGGUAAAUAUUUUUGGCUUUGGGGCCUUAAGGUCUCUGUCACAACUAGGCCUCCUGUAGACAACCUUGGCAGAAUUAAGAGCAUCCCUUAAUUCCUUGCUCCUCCCACCCACCCCCCAAAGCUGAUUCAAGCUUGGCAAUGAAGAUACAUAUCCUUAACUGAUAUCAGUAGCUUUGAUACUGUGGGUAAAAAAGCUCUAAAAUUAUUUUUUGGCAGGGCGCAGUGGCUCAUGCCUGUAAUCCCAACACUUUGGGAGGCCGAGGUGGGUGGAUCACCUGAGGUCAGGAGUUUGAGAGCAGCCUAGCCAACAUGGUGAAACCCUGUCUCUACUAAAAAUACAAAAAAAUAGCUGGGUGUGGUGGCGGGUGCCUGUAAUCCCAGCUACUCAGGAGGCUGAGGCAGGAAAAUUGCUUGAACCCGGGAGGCGGAGGUUGCAGUGAGCUGAGAUUACACCACUGCACUCCAGCCUGGGUAACA
rnacentral:lncRNA from 10 species